rnacentral:rRNA from 1 species
CUCAGCAGAUAAUUGUAUACGUGAAAGUACUCGAAACCAUUCCGAACUCGACUUUAAGUAAAAGCGUGUACGCCAUAUGAACUGCUUAUUAGUGGGACCCAUACGGUUUCUGCUGAG